rnacentral:rRNA from 1 species
UGGGGAAUUUUGGACAAUGGGCGAAAGCCUGAUCCAGCAAUGCCGCGUGUGUGAAGAAGGCCUUCGGGUUGUAAAGCACUUUUGUCCGGAAAGAAAUCCUUGGCUCUAAUACAGUCUGGGGGAUGACGGUACCGGAAGAAUAAGCACCGGCUAACUACGUGCCAGCAGCUGCGGUAAUACGUAGGGUGCAAGCGUUAAUCGGAAUUACUGGGCGUAAAGCGUGCGCAGGCGGUUUGCUAAGACCGAUGUGAAAUCCCCGGGCUCAACCUGGGAACUGCAUUGGUGACUGGCAGGCUAGAGUAUGGCAGAGGGGGGUAGAAUUCCACGUGUAGCAGUGAAAUGCGUAGAGAUGUGGAGGAAUACCGAUGGCGAAGGCAGCCCCCUGGGCCAAUACUGACGCUCAUGCACGAAAAGCGUGGGGAGCAAACAGGAUUAGAUACCCUGGUAGUCCACGCCCUAAACGAUGUCAACUAGUUGUUGGGGAUUCAUUUCCUUAGUAACGUAGCUAACGCGUGAAGUUGACCGCCUGGGGAGUACGGUCGCAAGAUU